ensembl:lncRNA
UUUGCAAGGAGGCAGCAGGGAGUGCUUGAGCAGAGAGAUCCCCUUCCCUACCAAUGCAAUUUCAGAUAACAGCAGGUAAUUAGGGCAGCGGAGCUGUGGGAUCACUUACCCACCAAUGAGAAUUCAGAUCACAGUAGCUUUAUUCAUAAUUGCUCAAACUUGGAGGCAACGAAGAAACCAAAAUGUUCUUCACUAGUUCAGGUUCUUGUUACCCCACUCGAUUUCUUGAUGUGGUCACCUGAAUGUCCUUCGUGUUUCAGCCUCCUGGAAUCCUUCCUUCAUGACCCUGAAGAACUGCCCUCCAGACCCGCAGGGCUGGAGAUGAUGUUGACCAACGGCCUUGGGAGGAGGGGUUGCAGCUGAGUCCACACCCUCUCAAACUCCUUCAGACUGUUUUUGUAGACUACUUUACCAUUAACAACAAAUCCUAAGAUUUACUCAAUUAGUACAGCAGUCGUUGGCCAGAGUUCAAAUUUCUGAUUCGAAGGAAUCUGCACUCUGCCUGCCAGGAUCGACUAUUAAUGGCUUCGUCCGUAGAGGAGCUAUGUCUUUGCUCACUAGGGAAGAGUAUUGAGGCUUCGAAAGGGGUAUUUUGCUGGUCACCUCCUGGUCAUCCUUCUGCUCACCAAGAACAGAUACUGUUCUCAGCCCCUUACAUUGACAAGGUCGUUUAAUUCUCACAUAGCCCUUUCAGAUAGAUGCGACUAUUACCCCUCUUUUACAGAGGAGGAAAUCAAGAGGCAGAGGACAUAGGCGAAUUGUCCCAGAUCACAGAGCUGGCCACGGAGCUGGGACUUGCACCCGGCCAGCCUGGCUCCAGAGUUCCCUGCCCUCCUCCUGUACAGCACGUGUGACCUGCAGUAAUCACCGCCCAAACAGGCAGGCACUGCGGAUAGCCAAGCACACCUCUUCCGACUUCAGCAUGGAGGACGGUUCGUUUUCAUUCUGGUGUUCAGCUCGGGACUGUGUUUAUCACAAGGACGCACAACCCAGAAAGCUCAGUCACGUGACGUUGCCUUCUACGGUCAUGGUUUUCUACUUUUUGGCCCCAUUUUCCUGCCCACUUGGCCUGCUGGGACGUGAAUGAUACAUUACUACUACUACAGAAUGCAGCUCGCCAACUGUGAAGUUUCCAGGGUCCCUGGCCAGUCACUUGCGGAAGCCUCGCUCUCCAGGACCUCGGGAAAGAGGCACCCUACUCGAAUGCGUGCUUCUCCAGGAAUAUUUGCUCUGGUAAUAGCUGAGAAUAAAAGGCAUGUCUAACAGUUUGAUUGCAGAGACCUAGGAAGGGAAGGCUUAUAGCCGGCUUCUUCACAAUCCAACUGGAAGUAGGGUAGCCGGAUCCUGGCAUCCGUAUCUCCUGCUGGGUGAGGGUCACAGGAUCUCAGCGCCCAGGUGAGGCAACGAUGUUGAAAGAGGCUUCAGAAGAACUGGGCCAGAACAGUGGAAUCAAACGGAAAAGACUGGAAAUUCAAUCAGCUUGGGGAAUGACCAGAGAGCGUCUGUUGCCCAGCAAGGCUUGAAAACAGAGAUUCCCAGCAACAGGGCCAUAGCAAAGCUCUCUCAGCACACCUGCCCCGGACCAUCAGCUGAUGAGAGCUUGUGAUUGUGCCAUCCAAAGAGACGUAGCUAUUUGGUCUUCAGCUGGUUCUGGGCACAGAGCAUCUAAGACCCUUGGAAUCUUUCGAGUGGUCAGAGUGCCUUUGUGUAGUCGGGACAGGCCUGGGAGCUGGGGCGCCCUAGGCAGUUUCAGGGUGGUUCUCGGGUUCAGAAAGACCAAGGCAGGACUAGAGGGCUGGAGCUGUCAGUCUCCAAGCCAACCUCUGACCUGGAGGGAGAGGGCUGGAGAUGAGUCAAUCCCCACUAGCCAAAGAUGUCAUCAACCAUGUCUACAGUGACACCUCUAGAAAACCCUAAAUGGUGGGGUUGGAGAGCUUUCAGGUUGGGGAAAACCUUGACAUUCUGGGAGGGCAGCAUUCCCACUCCCCAGGGCCAGAAGCCC